CACAAGCGGUGGAGCAUGUGGUUUAAUUCGAAGCAACGCGAAGAACCUUACCAAAUCUUGACAUCCUCUGAUCCCUCUAGAGAUAGAGGUUUCCCCUUCGGGGGACAGAGUGACAGGUGGUGCAUGGUUGUCGUCAGCUCGUGUCGUGAGAUGUUGGGUUAAGUCCCGCAACGAGCGCAACCCUUAAGCUUAGUUGCCAUCAUUAAGUUGGGCACUCUAAGUUGACUGCCGGUGACAAACCGGAGGAAGGUGGGGAUGACGUCAAAUCAUCAUGCCCCUUAUGAUUUGGGCUACACACGUGCUACAAUGGACAAUACAAAGGGCAGCGAAACCGCGAGGUCAAGCAAAUCCCAUAAAGUUGUUCUCAGUUCGGAUUGUAGUCUGCAACUCGACUAUAUGAAGCUGGAAUCGCUAGUAAUCGUAGAUCAGCAUGCUACGGUGAAUACGUUCCCGGGC
rnacentral:rRNA from 1 species